rnacentral:sRNA from 1 species
CUCCAUGGUCGAAUUUUCCAAGAGAAAAUGUGGUGAGCUUUCUAGCAAAAGUAAAGAGAUAGUACCCGAGGAUCAAGAAUCAGAGUACUCGAAACUCGAUUCCCAUUACAGCUCAGGAUAGUCAAUAGAUAGCUCAUUUCGUUGAGGG